rnacentral:rRNA from 1 species
GACAGAGGAGGCAAGCGUUGUUCGGGCUUAAUGGGCUUAAAACGCGGCUGGGCGGCCGCGUAAGUGCUUUGUGAAAGUCCACGGCUCAACCGUGGAAUUGCAGGGCAUACUGCGCGGCUUGAGGUCGGUAGAGGUGGCGGGAACUCUAGGUGGAGCGGUGAAAUGCGUAGAUAUCUAGAGGAACGCCGGAGGCGAAAGCGGGCCACUGGGCCGAUUCUGACGCUGAGACGCGAAAGGGUGGGGAGCAAACAGG